GGGCUUGCCUCAGCAGCACGUACACUAAAAUUGAAAUGACACAGAGAGGAUUAGCAUGGCCCCCACGCAAGGAUGACACACAUUGAUGAGGUGUUCCAUAUUUUG
rnacentral:snRNA from 1 species